AUUGUUCGAUUCAGGUCCUAUAUCUGAAAAUAAGUUAUUGAAGGAAAACAGUUUCAGUUUGUCUGAUUCUCUGGUCAAGCCACUGUGUGUGCGUGUGCCCGCGUGUGUGUGUGUGUGUGUGUGUGUGUGUGUGUGUGUGUGUGUGUGUGUGUGUGUGUGUGUGUGUGUGUGUGUGUGUGUGUGUGUGUGUGUGUGUGUGUGUGUGUGUGUGUGUGUGUGUGUGUGUGUCGGUGUAGAGAAGUCAAAGAUAUGCUGUUACUAUGGUUACUAUACCAUAGUAACCAUAGUACUAUGAUUAAUAUGCUGUAACUAUGCUGUCAUUAUCGUUACUGCCCAGGAACUUUAUUGUUACUAUGUCAACCGCCCACCUCAAGGUGACUACUGAACUGGUCCUCAGGGUGUUUCUGCUCAUAUUGUCAUUGACUGACAUAAAAAAAAGUAAACCUAAAUGUUGUGUCCACAUUGUAUCAUUAUUUAGCAAAGCAUCUAUGAUUAAUCAUUACACUGGAUAUAACUGACGUGUGUGUGUGUGUGUGUGUGUGUGUGUGUGUGUGUGUGUGUGUGUGUGUGUGUGUGUGUGUGUGUGUGUGUGUGUGUGUGUGUGUGUGUGUGUGUGUGUGUGUGUGUGUGUGUGUGUGUGUGUGUGUGUGUGUGUGUGUGUGUGUGUGUGAGAGAGAAGAAGAAGAAGGGGAAAGAGUAUGUGUCAUUGGAACCACCAGGAAAAAAGAAAAGAACACAACCACACAUGUUGGUCUUCUCAGCAGAGUGAGGAAUACAAAACAGAGAUGAAGAGAUAAAAACAGAGAGAAGAGUCACAUUUGUGUGUAUCAGUGUCACUUCCGUCCCUCUCCUUGCCCCAACCUGAGCUCGAACCAGGGACCCUCUGAACAGAUGGACAACCAUCAUCCACAAAGCAUCGUUACCUGUUACUCCACAAAAGCUGUGGUCUUGCAUAGCAAGGGAAACAACUACUUCUAGGUCAGAGCGGAUGAGGUCACCGGUUGAACACUACUAGCGAGCACCACUAAAUAGCUAGCCAUUUCACAUUGGUUACAUGUGCGCACUUGUAAAUAUGUGUGUUUGCCUAUGUGUGUAUGUGUCAGAAAGAAGACUCGUACUGCAGUAGUUCAUAGAGCAGAGGUCUGUCCCUGUAUCGUAUGCCUGCGGCUGCAGGCGUCAGGUACUGUAGUAGGUUGAUGGUCCUUCGCAGCCGUCUGUCCACGUAGUGAGCGUCCCAGGCUGGGUAACGUUUCCUGGGCAUGUCAAUCUUUAUCAGAGGACCUUCGAAACGCCUCGAGGUGGGGGGCUCCAAACGCACCUGGAACACCGGCAGACAGCCUUCUGCGAUGAUGUCAUCACUGUGAAACGGGGAAGCAAGGUGGGCUGGGGUGGGCGGAGCUGAAGGGGGCAAGGGGUUACCCCACAGCAGCUCAUCACACCAGGUCGAUGCCGGGGUGGGGUGUGUGUGUGAGGGGUGAAGAAGGCCGUAGUACAGAAGCAUCACCAGUACUCCACCCGUAAAGGACAGGUAGACACCACACAACGCUGGAACCGCGUAGCUGUCUGUCUCUUCGUGGUCACGAUACACAUACCUGUAACACAUACGCACACACGCACAACUGUUUUGAUAUCCACGCACACACAUAUGUCUCUGUACAAUCAUGAGAGAUACACCUAUUCGAAGAUAAAACACAUACUGUAGGUGUGUGCCUGUCUGUCUAUCUGUCUGUCUACAUACCACAGUCCAGUAAGCAGUGUGUUCUCAGCCAGUACCACAGAGUAGUAAGCCACCAUGCGUCCCCUGGUGUGUCCCUCCUUGACAUUGAACCAACAGAAGAUGUAGACGAUGCCCACCACCAUGUUAAACAAAACCUCCUCCCAGCGAGACAUACAGAAGUCUGUUCCGCCAUGCACCACCCACAGGGCCAUGCCACACCAGUGGAGCACCACGAAGAUGCCAAAGUACAGGUGGAAGAGGGAUGCGAAGAGGGCGAGAGAGAGAACGCGGGAGGAGAUGGUGAGGAGGCGCCAGAGAAGGUGGAGGAGGGCACCGCGAUAACUCAGACUGCGCUGGUCGUCUCUGGAGUCGCGCAGGAGCUUGUGGUAUGAGGCCAACACCCAGGAUAGAGACAGAAGAGAGCCUAGACUAGAUAUACCUAGGGAGAGAGAUGGAGUGACUCAUCUUGAUAGCUGUAAUACCAGUUGACCAGUGAGUGUGUGAACUGUGUGUAUACGUACACUGUAGAGUCUCAGCCCGGUUCUGCUGUAUCAUAAUACAGAGCUGUAGUACUAGUUGAGGAGCUGACUCCAGGAAGGUCUCCAGAAGCCGCAGCAUGUUGACGUCUGCGUACUCAAACAUCAUGGCCCAGUAGAACCUCCUCUGUGCCUCCUUAUGCUCCUUCAUACGGUGGGACUGGAUACCCAGGUAUAAAGUACGGAUAUACCUGGGGGUCAGAGGUCAAUAAUUAUGGCAGAGAGUGAGAGAGACGGUUUGUGUAGAAUGAAUCAGAUUAAACACUGAGUGCCCCAGGCUGUGCUUGUGGGGUGUGUGUGUGUCUGUGUUUCUCUUGUGUGUUUGUGUAUGUGUGAGCAUGUGCGUAGACAUGCUCAUACAACCAUCUGGGCUGCAUCAUAUGAGCUAAUUUCAUACGACAUCAAUAAUUCACUGGUCACAUACAGUAGAAACACAUGCACGCACGCACACAUUUCACCAGAUAAACCUGCAAGAUGCCGCAUCACAACAGAGAGUUUAAUUGUUUAAAUGUCGCUAUCCAUCAUUCCCCUCCCCCCUUCACUUCUGUUCUGCGUGUUCAAGCUCUUUUUUUCUGUCAAUUCUACUCCCUCCCUCCAUCUCACAGUGAUCUAACUCAAUCAGACUGAACCAUUCCACACACACCACUCUUUGGGAAAGACUCUAUUAGGGAGAUUGUUACAAACGUACACACACACUAGCUCUUAAGCCCACUCAACAUCUCCCUCAGGCACCUAGGCCAUGAAAGAUUAGUCUGACAGAGAGAGGGAGAGAAGGAGAGAGGGGGGAGCGGAGAGGGGGUACAUACAGGAUAUCCAAGUGGAAUGGCAUGCCUUUGACCUUUGGUGUCCGGUCAGGAUGUUUUGAUGUAGUGUUUUUCUAGUUUGAUGGCCUUGUGACUAUCAGCCUUGUGACUAUCAGCUCCGCUAGCUAGUUAGCUAUCCAGCUAAUUGUCCAGCUGUGUCAGACACAGACAGUGGAAGUGUAGAGAAAACACAAGAGAAGAUGGAAAUCGAUUGAGCCCAAAUAGGUUCAAACCGUUUUUACAGAAUAAAAAUAUAAUAAUAAUAAUAAGAAGAAGCUUUAUUCAGGUCAGUGCUGGUUCUGCAUAUGUGCCCUUCCUUGCUAAUUAUAUAGGCCAUUAGUGUAUGGUUUGAGUAGCCUAGCUAAUACUUACAGCCAAUCACAUCCUAAAUAUCACCUCCUUCACUGACUUCCAGUGUGUGUGUGCAAUUUUUUGUGUGUGUUUGUGUGUCAGCGGCAGAUACUCUUUCUUCUUUGUUCUCCACCUGUACACACAUGGUGAGGUUAACACGUGACCUAGUACAUGGACUUCAUUUGAUAGUAGAGAAUAGAGAAUGGGAGAGGGGAACAGAGGAGAGAAGAGGAGAAGUGAUCUCCACCAGGCACAACCAGAAGAGGACUGGCCACCGCUCACAGCCUGGUUCCUAGCCACUGUAGUUCCGCAUUGCUUGCUCUUUGGAGUUUUAGGCCGGGUAUCUGUAUAAGCCAAGGGGAAAAUUGUGGUGUAGAUAUUGGGGGAUGAACAGUAGACGGGUGGUCCUGGUGGUCCACUCCGGAUUUUCUUUUUGACAUUUUAAUAUGCAUUCUCUGCAAUUCUACACAGUUUGAAAUGACUUAUUAUGCCCCCCCCCCCCCCAAAAAAAUAUAUAUACAUAUAAAUAUAUUCUUAGGAAACCAGCUAACUUCCUGCAUUUCAACACCUUUUGUCAUGGGGCAGAGAGAAAACUGUGCAGUUUUAUAAUGCUAUUCUACACAUUUUCUCAUGAGUCUGAGAACAUUUAGCAGUUUUAAAGCAAAUUGCCUGCAAUUGUACAAAUCCUUCCAUGUGGCAGAGACAAAAAUGUGCUGUUUUAUAGCUUAUCUCACGGUAUUCUUCACAUUAUGACAUUGUCACGCCCUGACCUUAGAGAGCCUUUUUAUGUCUCUAUUUGGUUUGGUCAGGGUGUGAUUUGGGUGGGCAUUCUAUGUUCUUUAUUUUUUUUAUUUCUGGCCGAGUGUGGUUCCCAAUCAGAGGCAGCUGUCUAUCGUUGUCUCUGAUCGGGGAUCAUACUUAGGCAGCCCUUUUUCCCACCUGUGAUUGUGGGUAGUUGUCUAUGUGUAGUGGCCUGCGUGCACUACGUAGCUUUACGUUUGUUAUUUCUUGUUUUGUUGGAGACAUUAUAAAUAAACUAAAAUGUACGCUGAC